rnacentral:lncRNA from 1 species
AUAGCGUUACUCAGUAAGUCCCAAGCCUAACCUCGGUUGAGUAGUGACGAGGAAGGUCAAGGCCCUACUGAGGUUAAAUAAAAGAUAUAAUUCGACAGUAUAAAAUAGGACAACAAAUAUGUACAAUAGUAAAAGUAACACAGGAUAUAAGGGACAACAACCACACAGAACAUAAUGUAAACACUGAAGAAAAUACUGCUUGACUCCAAUAAAAUCAAUUAGUGAUCUUCCAGGAUACCGUCCAAAAGUUUUAGUAUGCAUAUCCGAUAAGUCUCUCGGGAUACCG